rnacentral:misc_RNA from 1 species
CUCUUAUCUCUCCCUCUCCCACUUGACAUACAGCUUCUCAUGCCUAAGCUGAAUGAGGCGAGUACGAGGCAAGUAUAAACGAACUCAAGUGAGACGAUACCAUGUUUAUUAGCUCAUGUUUAAACAUGCUGAAUUCGAACAUUAAUAUUAAAACUUCCAUUGAACUCGUCUCUUGCACAAAAUUAGCCAAGGAGUUAUGAUGCUUAAUUCAGACGUUUAUCGGAAGCAUUGUUUGUCGAAGGCAGGAGUUGCAGCAAUAGUUAUAAAACUCUCAUGCCCAGCCAGAUGGUUGAUAGAGCGGCAAAAAGUUUAAGCUGAGCCACCCCUCUGGCCUCCGGUUGGUGAAGUCCUGAAGCAGUCCAGCUAGCCGUCAGCGAGGGAGCUUAUCGUGUUUUUGAGUUAGAUUCUCUCCAAACUCUGCUCCAGCUGAGGACAUUCAUGGGAUAUCAUUUGGUCCAUCAGGGCCCUUAUCCCUUGUCUAUCUAAGGUACCAUUUUUUGCAAAUUCUGCAAGUUGCUUGGAAUGUUGUAUAUUCAAGUUCCUUGUAAUUGGAUUGUAGCAAACCCACCUCAGCUUUUUAAUGCUAUGGAUGCAGUUAAAAAAAAUAUAUAGAACACUCAUCUGUGCAUAAUCAUAAAGAUAAAGACGAGUUUAUCUUAAACUAAUUGCGUUCUUUCUUUUUCUUUUUUUUUCUUUCAAUCAGCACAAUAAUCUUUCAAAAUAUAUUUUUUUUUCUUUUGUCAUCAUCAUCAUCAUCAUCAAAGAAAUUCCAAGAUCAUCAGCAAUUAACUCCUAAUACCAACCCUCUCUCUAGCCUCCCAUCUUUAGCUUAUGACUCCAAUGACCUCAGUCUUGCUUUUGCUAGUCUCCAAAAGCAGUCUAGUGGGCAGUUAGGGUUUGAUGAGCAUGAUCUGUCUAUUUUGGGAAACCCACACAACCCCCAUUGUGAUAUGCUUGGAAAUCCAAACAUUCACACUUCAGCUGCAACUCCUUCCUUUCUUGAUGCUCUAAGAUGUGGGUUUCUUGAUGCCCAAAGCAAUAACUUACAAAACUUGUACUAUGGGUAUGGAAAUGGGAACAUGGUUGAGGUGGAAAAUAGUGGGGUUUGUAGUGCUAGUGGAGAAAUGAUGAUACCCUAUGAAGAUAUGAGUGGUGCAGCCACACAAGCUGUGACAGUGACAACAAUGAAGCAAGAAUUACGCAAUGGUAGGGAAGAUGAAAAUAAUAAGGUCUUAUGGGGCUUCCCAUGGCAGCUCAAUGGAAAUGGGAUAGGCGGUGAUCUUGAUCCAGGAAAAGAAAGCUGGAACGGACUUGGUUCAACUUGGCAUGGACUUCUUGAUAGUCCCCUAAUGUACUAGUCCAAAAUUUGUUAAUUUCAGCUACCCAGCCUUAGCCUAUAUAAUCCCAAGAAAAAGCAUAGAAUUUUCUUCUCAGUUUAGGCCUCCUUGAGAGUUUUUGUGUUAAGAGCUAUGAUUCAUCACCUGAAUCAUGCAUCUCUCUAUUUUGAAUUAUUAUUAUUAAUUAUAUAUUUUUUUUCUUCUUUUCUUUUGUUUGCUAUCAUUGGUUUUUAUACUAAUGAAAUUUGAAAUUUGUUUGCUAACCAAGUAAGGA